UAUGGCCACAUCACAUUGAAACAUUUGUUCCCAUAUGACCACCAAAGUUAAGCAACCUGGAGCCUGGUCAGUACCUAGAUGGUUGACUACUUAGGAAUACCAUGUGCUGUA